rnacentral:rRNA from 1 species
AAGAUAGUUUACUAUUUUGGUGGCGACCGGCGCACGGGUGAGUAACGCGUAUGCAACCUACCUCAUACAGGAGUAUAGCCCGAAGAAAUUCGGAUUAAUCCUCCAUAGUAUUUUCUAAUGGCAUCAUUUGGAAAAUUAAAGCUUCGGCGGUAUAAGAUGGGCAUGCGUCCUAUUAGCUAGAUGGUAAGGUAAAGGCUUACCAUGGCUACGAUAGGUAGGGGGCCUGAGAGGGUGACCCCCCACACUGGUACUGAGACACGGACCAGACUCCUACGGGAGGCAGCAGUGAGGAAUAUUGGGCAAUGGAGGCAACUCUGACCCAGCCAUGCCGCGUACAGGAAGAAUGCCCUAUGGGUUGUAAACUGCUUUUAUUUAGGAAUAAACCCCUCUACGUGUAGAGGGCUGAAGGUACUAAACGAAUAAGCACCGGCUAACUCCGUGCCAGCAGCCGCGGUAAUACGGAGGGUGCAAGCGUUAUCCGGAAUCAUUGGGUUUAAAGGGUCCGCAGGCGGACGUAUAAGUCAGUGGUGAAAUCCUGCAGCUUAACUGCAGAACUGCCAUUGAUACUGUACGUCUUGAAUUCGGUCGAAGUGGGCGGAAUGUGUAGUGUAGCGGUGAAAUGCAUAGAUAUUACACAGAACACCGAUAGCGAAGGCAGCUCACUAGGCCUGGAUUGACGCUCAGGGACGAAAGCGUGGGGAUCAAACAGGAUUAGAUACCCUGGUAGUCCACGCUGUAAACGAUGAUUACUCGUUUUCGGCGAUAUACAGUCGGAGACUAAGCGAAAGUGAUAAGUAAUCCACCUGGGGAGUACGAUCGCAAGGUUGAAACUCAAAGGAAUUGACGGGGGCCCGCACAAGCGGUGGAGCAUGUGGUUUAAUUCGAUGAUACGCGAGGAACCUUACCAGGGCUUAAAUGCAGAGCGAAUAGUUUGGAAACAGACUAGCCUUCGGGCGAUCUGCAUGGUGCUGCAUGGCUGUCGUCAGCUCGUGCCGUGGAGGGGGUUGGGGUUAAGUCCCGCAA